AGCUUUGCUCAGUGGUAGUAUCAUAGCCAAUAAGGUUAAUCUGAGACUCGAUUAUUGCUAAUUGAAAACUUAUCCCAUUUUGGCUUCAAAUGUAAAAAGGGAAGUUUAGAUUGGAUAUAAG